rfam:Schistosoma haematobium scaffold732_50, whole genome shotgun sequence.
AUCCAACUGACGAGUCCCAAAUAAGAUGAAAAGCGCGCCCUGGAU